UUGCUGGUCAGUAGAAGAAAAUAAUUACAAGAUGGAUGGCCUUAUUCAAGAGUUACAUCCAAUUAGAAAAGGCUUAAUUGAGAUUUCACCAGUUGAUCUGUCAUCUGUUGAUUGUGUGGAGAAAUUGCAGUCAGUUUUAUCAGAAUGUCAACAAAUUCUGCAAAAUCCUGGUAAUCAACAAGAAGAUGAGAAUGUUUUAUCUUUGUUGAAGUAUGGCUUAGAAAACUUGAUCAUUGAAAGCUUAGAAGCAUUUGUUGACCAAUCAGAUGCUGUAGAUGAAAGCAAUGAAAGUCUUCUUGAUGUUAUUUUAGAGACUAUCAAUGUUUUAUGUGAUAACAGUUCAAAGGCUUGUGAGAUGAUUGUACCAAAGAUGAGUAUACAACUUCUAGAAAUGUUGACAUAUCACGUUUUCACCUUUCAACAAAAAAUGGAGAUAUUAAAAUCAUUGAAUAUUAUGCUGGAAUAUAGUACAUUUAUUGUGAAAGAGAAGUUGUUGACUAGAC